CAAAAAUAGGCAAACUUGGCUUGGGGAUAAUAAGGAAAUCCAAGUCGAAGGUGAAGGUACUGUUGCUAUCCAAACUAGUCAAGUUCGAUGAGUUGGGUAUAUCUUUUGAAACGCAAAUUAGAAACUUUUGCAAGCUUCAAAAGAUUCAAGGCAUUAGUUGAAAACCAAGUUGGUAACAAAGUUAAGGUUCUUCGUACUGACAGAGGAGAUGAAUUUUUAUCACACGAUUUUUAGUUAUUUUUUGAAGAAAAUGGCAUUCACAAGAAAUUGACUGCACUUUACACUUUUGGAGCAAAAUGAGAUUACCAAGCGGAAGAACUGAACUGUGAUGGAGAUGGCCAGGAGCAUGUUGAAGAGUAAAGAUCCGUCAAAUCAGUUUUAGGCUGAGGCUGUUCUCUCCAACAAAAGCAGUCAGGGGUCGAACACCUUUUGAAAUCUAAAAGGUAGAAAGCCGUGGGCAAGUCAUGUAAGAAUUGUUGGUUGUAUUGCAUAUUGUUGCACCUUGUUUUACACAAGUCAAAAUAAAGUACAACUUACGGUACUCUACAAGAUUAAUUGGUGUUUAGAGUUAGCCAACUAGUAUUUAAGGUAUAUUAGGACACCUAUAUUACACUAUGUAAUGUAAAUUUGAUUAUGACCAUUGACAUUCUAGGUAAGGGUUCAAGUUA